UCAAUCCAUGUACAUAAAGUUCAAAAAUCACUAAAUAUUAUCUUUACAUUUACAUGACUUCACUUUACAUCACUUUAUGUCAUUACAAGCAUACUACAUAAUUUCCAUACACAAAAGAAUAAAAAUAAUUCCAAACUCUUCAAUAGUCUUCAUUCUUACUCCAUUCUUGACCAUGCUUGUUCAUGCUUCAUUACCAUGUACCAUGUUGCAAAGAAAACAAUAAAAACAAGUUAGAAAUUAGAUUCAUUUCUAAAAAUUCCGCACUUACAUAGCAAAAUUCAGCAUCAUGAGCAUUUACAGAAUACACAUGAAAAGACAUUUUAAAUUCAUAUCAUUCAUCUCUAAAAUUCAACACAUGCACAUACAUUAACAUCAUAUGCAAAACCAUCCAAAAACAAGUCAACUUCAAUGUUAAGAUAACAAAUAUUCAGCAUGCUAUGCAUAUACCAUAAAUACAAAUUUCACAGUAUGCAUCAUUCUCAUUCCAUUUCUAUAUAAUAAGUAAAACCCCAUAAAUCAUGUGUAUAAAAAAUACAGCAUUCAGAUAAUACAUCAUCUCAUUCAUGAAAAUCAAUCCAAAAGCAUCUAUAAAUUAUUCAUUCAUACCAUGUAAAUACCCAAGCAUGUAAAUUCAUUCAAUUUCCUUCAUAUUCACAAAAAAUUCAGCAUAUGCACAUGCAUGUAAAUUGACAUACAUCCAUGUCUUAACCAUCCUAAUUACCUUAAACUUCCACAAACUAACUUCCAACCACUUUGGGAAAUUUCCCAAAGUGCCCAAAACAGCCCCAAAUAAUUUCUAACCAAUUCUUAACCUCUAGUCACCCCUCACAUAGUUCUAUAUAAUCAUUCAUCACUCACCAAUUAAGGAGAGUUUUUUUCUUCUCCACUUUUUGAUUCUACUCAUUCUUCACUUUCUCUCAAUUUUUCACUCUCCAUUCUCCAUUCUUCAAUCUUCCCUCACUAGAGCUCAAAUCCAUGGUUGUUGAAGCUUCACAUUGAAACUUCAAUCAACUUGAGCAUAAAUCCUCACCACACUUCACCUUAUAGUUUUUCAUGAUUCAAGCACCAAAAAAAUCAACAACAACAAGAAAACAAAUGGAAGAAAAGAAAGAGGAUCAAGAAUAAAUGAAGACAAAUUGAAGAAUUACUUACCUAUUGAAUUGGCG
rnacentral:lncRNA from 1 species